AUGGAUCCAGCGCUGGCCGGCGACGAGGGCCGCCAGAUCCGCGACCUGGGAGGCUCCUCCUGUAGGAUAUGGGAGGCUCCUCCUGUAGGAUACGGGAGCAGCGCACCGCACCCUGCAGUCGCCGGUUCGGGACGAGCACAGCGGCUCGAGGACGCCGGCGACAAACGCCGGCGCUCCUCUGCUCCAUCCACCUGGACGGCUGCUACUCCGCCAAAGACGUCACCUACAGGUGCUCUGCUCUUGCGCAUGUAUGGUGGCGUCUCCGGCGUAGCGAUGCUUCUUGAGGUGACUGGCGUGACGGCGGCUGUGUAUGGCAGUGACCACAAGCUCUUCGGAUGUGCAGCAAGCCUUCCAAUCUGCUUGUUUUGUUUCUGUUGGAUGAUGGUCUUGCGGCACAUGGCGCCGGAGCUGAGCCUGGGCAUGAGGAGCGAUCGCUACGUGCGGGUCCUCGACCUGCUUGGCCUCAACCUGCAGACCUUCGCCAAGGUUCACCUCAAGUCCCACACUAUGGAUGAAAUUAGGGAGGCGGUCAGGCGAGACAGCAAGCAGCUCUGUUUCUUGUUAUCUGCUCUGCUUUCAACUGAACUCGUUUCAGUUAGCAAGUCGAUACUGCAGAAUUUGAGACUGGAUACUGAAUUUGAGAGUAUGGGUGCUUGUAAUGAGUAUUGGGAGUUCUGGGACUAUUAUAUGGUGUUAUGGAUAUACUUUGUGAUUCGAGUUACUGAUAUGUGGUCUAGUCUCAGUGGGAAAGAUGCAACUAUUGUGAUCUAA
rnacentral:rRNA from 1 species